CCUACGGGUGGCUGCAGUAAGGAAUAUUGGACAAUGGGCGCAAGCCUGAUCCAGCCAUGCCGCGUGCAGGAUGACGGCCCUAUGGGUUGUAAACUGCUUUUAUACGGGAAAAAACCCCUCUACGUGUAGAGGGCUGAUGGUACCGUAAGAAUAAGGAUCGGCUAACUCCGUGCCAGCAGCCGCGGUAAUACGGAGGAUCCGGGCGUAAUCCGGAUUUAUUGGGCUUAGGGGGUUUUGUAAGGGAUUUGUAAAAUCCUGCAGCUUAACUGUAGAACUGCCAUUGAUACUGCAAGUCUUGAGUACAUAUGAUGUGGGCGGAAUGUGUAGUGUAGCGGUGAAAUGCUUAGAUAUUACACAGAACACCAAUUGCGAAGGCAGCUCACAAAACUGUAACUGACGCUGAGGCACGAAAGCGUGGGGAGUGAACAGGAUUAGAUACCCUGGUAGUC
rnacentral:rRNA from 1 species